UACGUAGGGGGCGAGCGUUAUCCGGAAUUAUUGGGCGUAAAGCGUGCGCGGGCGGUUUUGUAAGCCAGAUGUGAAAUCCCCGGGCUUAACCUGGGAAUGGCAUUUGGGACUGCAAGGCUUGAGUGCGGCAGAGGAGACUGGAAUUCCUGGUGUAGCAGUGAAAUGCGUAGAUAUCAGGAGGAACACCGAUGGCGAAGGCAGGUCUCUGGGCUGACACUGACGCUCAUGCACGAAAGCGUGGGGAGCAAACAGG
rnacentral:rRNA from 1 species